CUGCAGUCACUGCGUUGCUCGUUUUUCCUGGUAACAUCGAGCUCCGCCAAUCAAAGACGUUGUGUUACACUUUAGGAUUAUGGGUAGUGUAGUGGUUUCAUAGUCAUCGCGAAUAAAACGUGUUUUUCUCAAACCUCGAUUUUUACGUCUUUAACUUGUGGCUUCUGCAGGAGCAUAUACCAUCGUUUCACAAUAUAUUGGCACGUGAUAAGUAUACUUUGGAUGGUUACGACAUUAUGGCUUUUAAUCAAAACCUCUAUGGAGAAAAUGAAUCGAACUUUUUUACUUCCAGAACCACACACAGUACGUCGUGACGUCACAUCGCAAGGCCCGCCUCCAUGUCGGAAACCACGUCGGAAGCACCGGAGCGGAUGGUGUGUUGACGGUAGUUGCUGCUGUUGCUUUUUUAGUCACUGUUUAGUCAUUCAUCGUGAGAUUAGUUGUCAUUAGGUGGUAAUUGUUGUGUUUGAAACUACCACAGUCAUUAUCAUGCAAGGACUAAGCCAAGAAUACGUUGUAUAUAUACGUUUAUUUAGGGUUUGACAUACAACUCCCCUGAAUUGAAUGGAAAUGGCGGAGUGUGGACUAAAACAACAAAACACACAACACACAACCCCAUACAAACCCCUGGUGCUCUGGUAUGUACCAGCUCUGUAGUGACGGAUCCAUGUGGACUGUCAGACAUGGAAGGUGAGGGAGCCCUGGAGGCACUUGGUGAACAGUUGUAUAGUUUGAUCUAUCCCAAACAUGCAGAAAUCGCUGGGAAACUCACAGGCAUGUUGUUGGAGCUUCCCGGGCCGGCUCUGAGCCAGAUGUUGGAGGACGAGGCCCUCCUGGCGGGAGCCUUAGAGAAAGCCCUCAGCGCCUUGGACAAACAGCUGGUGCCGAGACUCCCUUGGAGAUCAACUGUUUGAGCUUGUGGACACCUACAACACUGGGCACUCCCAUAAAAUAACCGGUAUGCUUCUCGAGCAGCACAAAGAAACCGUUUUAAAACUGUUCUCAGAGCCUACACUGUUACAAGAGCAGGUGAACCUCUCCCUGAAGACACUUAACGAGCAGGAGUUGGAGACCUGUAUGAGUGACCCAUCGCUCAUGGAAGACAUGGAUAGACUAGGAGAGAAUCUGUUCUUGCUGGUGGAGAGGCUGGAUCCAGUCCAUGCUACUGACAUCACAGGUAUGCUGCUGGAGAUGGACCCCUCCACCCUCCCACAGCUACUGAGAGAUAACAAAGCGCUGGAAGGGGCGGUUCGGAAAGCACAGGCAGCACUGGAGAAUUUCAAGUCCUCUGCUUAAAAAAGGCAUCAUGAUUGUGCAUGUUCUUCAAACAGAAGAGGAUCUUAAGAGAUGCUGGGAGCAAGAGAACGGUAAAGGGUGGACCACCAUGGCUGCAGAUCAUGUGUUUCCAACCAAAAUACGUUUAAAUUGUAUGGAUGAGAUGAUUAGGAUCCACAGGGAUCUGGGACUCUUAAACACUUGGAGGAUACACCCUGUAUGCUAGACUGACAAACCCCUUUUAGAAAUAGGACAUUUGUUCACCUUCGAGGUGUAAGCUGGAAUUGUGCAAUUUCACAUGACUCAAUGCAAGUUGAAACUUUUUUUUUCUCAUUAUUUCACCAAAAUGUUGCCAGAAAAAGCAAUUUAAUCAAUACAAUGUGUUUUGAUGGAAUGCUACAGGCAUGCAACAUCACAUUUGCUCCUGUCUGACUUACUAUAAUUAAUUAAAUGUGUUACACGCAAAUGACUUACAACUUAAA